UAUGAAGUUAGCGGCGGACGGGUGAGUAACACGUGGGUAACCUGCCCAUAAGACUGGGAUAACUCCGGGAAACCGGGGCUAAUACCGGAUAACAUUUUGCACCGCAUGGUGCGAAAUUGAAAGGCGGCUUCGGCUGUCACUUAUGGAUGGACCCGCGUCGCAUUAGCUAGUUGGUGAGGUAACGGCUCACCAAGGCAACGAUGCGUAGCCGACCUGAGAGGGUGAUCGGCCACACUGGGACUGAGACACGGCCCAGACUCCUACGGGAGGCAGCAGUAGGGAAUCUUCCGCAAUGGACGAAAGUCUGACGGAGCAACGCCGCGUGAGUGAUGAAGGCUUUCGGGUCGUAAAACUCUGUUGUUAGGGAAGAACAAGUGCUAGUUGAAUAAGCUGGCACCUUGACGGUACCUAACCAGAAAGCCACGGCUAACUACGUGCCAGCAGCCGCGGUAAUACGUAGGUGGCAAGCGUUAUCCGGAAUUAUUGGGCGUAAAGCGCGCGCAGGUGGUUUCUUAAGUCUGAUGUGAAAGCCCACGGCUCAACCGUGGAGGGUCAUUGGAAACUGGGAGACUUGAGU
rnacentral:rRNA from 1 species